GGAGAGGUUGUUAGGUGCCACCAAAAGUUUUAUAAAAUCCUUGAUUGGUUUUCUUCUUAUUUUCUUAUCUAGAUUUGAAUCAAAUUCAAAACAAGAAGGAGAUAAGGAUCAUGACUUAUCAAGAAACAUCCUACCUAAUCCUUUUGAUUUGAAUCAUAUUCAUAUUAGGAAAGGAUAAGGAUCAUGACUCAUAAUGAAAC
rnacentral:lncRNA from 1 species